rnacentral:rRNA from 1 species
GACGAACGCUGGCGGCGUGCUUAACACAUGCAAGUCGAACGGAAAGGCCCUGCUUUUGUGGGUGCUCGAGUGGCGAACGGGUGAGUAACACGUGAGUAACCUGCCCUUGACUUUGGGAUAACUUCAGGAAACUGGGGCUAAUACCGGAUAGGAGCUCCUGCUGCAUGGUGGGGGUUGGAAAGUUUCGGCGGUUGGGGAUGGACUCGCGGCUUAUCAGCUUGUUGGUGGGGUAGUGGCUUACCAAGGCUUUGACGGGUAGCCGGCCUGAGAGGGUGACCGGCCACAUUGGGACUGAGAUACGGCCCAGACUCCUACGGGAGGCAGCAGUGGGGAAGAUUGCACAAUGGGCGGAAGCCUGAUGCAGCAACGCCGCGUGCGGGAUGACGGCCUUCGGGUUGUAAACCGCUUUCGCCUGUGACGAAGCGUGAGUGACGGUAAUGGGUAAAGAAGCACCGGCUAACUACGUG